rnacentral:rRNA from 1 species
AUGGCCCACCAUCUCCUCCUCCCCUCCAAGCCCCUCCUGCCCGCCGCGGCCGCCGCCACCCCGCGCCGCGGCUGCGGUCGCCCCGUCGUCUCCGUCCGCGCGUCGGUGGUUGCCUCUUCGAAGGCCGCCGGGGCGGAGGCCGUGCGGUCGAUCCGCGCGCGGCAGAUCGUGGACAGCCGGGGGAACCCCACCGUCGAGGUCGACCUCGUCGCCGGCGACGGCAGCCUCCACCGCUCCGCCGUUCCCAGCGGGGCCUCCACGGGGAUCUACGAGGCCCUCGAGCUCCGCGACGGGGACAAGUCGGUCUACGGAGGGAAGGGCGUGCUCACCGCCGUUCGCAACAUCAACGAGGUCAUCGCGCCCAAGCUCGUCGGCGUCGACGUGAGGAACCAGAAAGAUGUUGAUGCGAUCAUGCUUGACAUUGAUGGAACUGAAAACAAAUCACAGUUGGGUGCCAAUGCUAUUCUUGGAGUCUCUUUAAGCGUAUGCAGGGCCGGUGCUUCUGCAAAAGGAGUUCCUCUGUAUAAACAUAUUCAGGAGCUUUCAGGCACCAAGGAGCUUGUCAUGCCUGUCCCAGCUUUCAAUGUAAUAAACGGAGGUAGCCAUGCUGGUAAUAAUCUGGCUAUGCAGGAAUUCAUGCUUUUACCCGUGGGGGCAACUUCAUUUGCCGAGGCUCUUCGUAUGGGCAGUGAAGUUUACCAUGUUCUUAAGGGCAUCAUUAAGGCGAAAUACGGUCAAGAUGCAUGCAAUGUUGGAGAUGAAGGUGGUUUUGCUCCUAAUGUUCAAGACAACAGGGAGGGCCUUGUUUUGCUUAUGGAUGCCAUUGAGAAAGCAGGCUACACUGGAAAGAUUAAAAUUGGAAUGGAUGUUGCAGCAUCAGAAUUCCUUAUGAAGGAUGGAAGCUAUGAUUUAAACUUUAAGAACCAGCCUAAUAAUGGAGCUCAUGUUCUUUCGGCCCAGUCUCUCUGUGAUCUGUACAAAGAAUUCGUCAAGGAUUUCCCUAUUGUAUCAAUUGAGGAUCCUUUUGAUCAAGAUGAUUGGAGCUCAUGGGCUUCGUUGCAAUCCUCGGUUGAUAUCCAAAUUGUCGGCGAUGAUUUGCUUGUCACAAACCCAAAACGUAUAGUAGAGGCUAUUGACAAGAAGGCCUGCAACGCUCUGUUACUUAAGGUUAAUCAGAUCGGUACGGUCACGGAAUCUAUUCAAGCUGCUCUGGAUUCAAAGGCUGCUGGUUGGGGCGUGAUGGUCAGCCACAGGAGUGGUGAAACAGAAGACAAUUUCAUCGCGGAUCUAGCUGUUGGUUUAGCGAGCGGGCAGAUCAAAACUGGAGCUCCGUGCAGAAGCGAGAGACUGGCCAAAUACAACCAGCUUGUGCGGAUUGAAGAGGAGCUAGGCAACGUGCGGUACGCCGGCGAAGCGUUCAGGUCUCCAUGA